GACCUUCUAUUAAAUUAUUAAAAGUAAGAGUAACUAAAAUAUAAACAGAAUCAAAUAUUAGAUUUGAGUAAGACCAAGUAGUCCUAUGAGAAGCCUCACACGUGUCCAAGUAAUCUUCCUUGGCUAUUUUCCCUCUGUGGCCAAAAAUGACCACAAGGACUUAUUCCUUAGCGUAUAUGCAAUUCCUCAGAUUUAAAGGCUCCCCGACAGAAUGGAUAGCAGAGGGAAAGCAAACGUAAAACUAAAGAUUAAGAUGCAGGAAAUAGCUCUAGAAAAAAUGGGAUCCCAUUUUCGCUCUCCCUCUAGGGCUCCUCCCCCUACUAUCAGUGCUCAGGGAUGGUCCCUUUAGUUUAAAGGACUUGCCGUGACUCGAGAAAAAGCAAAAGAUUCUCUUCUAUGAAAGAUCAUAAACGAAAAAGGACAGUGAGGAAAACUGAAAUCUGAAGGUGAGCUUUCAACGGUUGUUUUGCUUCCAUUCCAUUUCUUAGUUGGGGAAGGAAGAAGAUUUUUUACAAACCUGAUAUUUGCCAAAAAAAAAAAGGGAAAAACUAUUAUUUACUUCAUUUUUUUCUUCCUCCUCUUCUUUGGACCACGUCACGGCCUUCACAUCACGUACAAACACUAACCAUCCACUAUCUUUCUCGCUUCUGCACAAUAAAUAUCAACCAAAUUGGUCAAGUUCCAUCUUCAAGAGCAGUAUUCCAACUCUUUUUCCUCAUAUGUUCACUUGCCUGAAUCAUGCAAAUGUCAUUCUGUAUGCACCACCAAUCGGUUUAGAGUUGAACAUCCCCCGUCCUCCUUUUAUCCUGUACAUGGCGAAGCUGCUCUGCUGUCAAAUGCUGCAUCAUUUCUUUCACAUUUUGGCACAAAUCCCAUUUCAUAACUUACUUUAGAGCACCGCAACAGCAUGCAGCAGGAGAAACCAUAUGAUGGUUAACUUGAGGGAAGCCAUCUCUAUGUAUGUGUGUGUCUACAAGAAACAAAUAUACAAGUCAACUGGAACAUCCGUCAGGUCUUGACCUCAAAUGAUCAGGUCUUCUUCUCAAAAUCUCAGCUUCCCUGGCUAUCUGGAUAUCAGAAGGCCAAAAAAUAUGAUGUACAACUUUAAAAAGAAAGCGAGGGAGCAAUGCAAUGACUAUUAUGAGCAAGAUGGUGAGCCAAUACGUCGGUGACUUAGCCAGAUGAUAAAUAGUCCCAUAAUUAGGGAAGGCAGGUAAAGAAUCCAAUACCACCAUACAGGCAAAUGUAAUGAUCACUGACCCCCAAACAGCAACAUGAGUAAUAUAAACCCAGCGCUGGACAUCCAUUGCCAAGUGUAUAUUAACAAGGAUAACAACUGCUAUCGUCCAUAAACUGCCCAUGCUCCAAAUAUCAAUUGUGCUCUCUUUGUAAAUGAAUAUCGGUAUACUGAAGAGGACUAGACUCUGCCAUAGUGUAUCGGCCAUUGUGAUCCAGAAAAGGCGCAUGUUGUAAGCCUCUUGUCUAUAGCCAGCACCAUAAAGUUUAGGAUACUCUAACAGUGUCCGAUGGCUUAAAUCCUUGUCAAGAAUACCGACAACAAUGGUGGGCACAGAAGUAUAUAUAACAGAAUAAAAAACACUACUCCAAUCUGUCAAUGCUGAAGUUGUUGAAAAAGCUGUGCGCAAUAUAUACCAGAACAGCAUUAAUACGAAAACAGCAUUCCGGUAAAAGUUGUACAGAACUAAAUAACCAAUGCGUUGAUAAUUCCAGUGUCCAUGCACCAAAAGUAAUCUGUUCAGAAAUCGAAACUGUCCCAUAGCAAAAUCAGAUGCCAUCACUGCUUGACGCCCUUCCUGACCACAAAUUCCAACACCAACAUCCGCCAUUUGGAUCAUUGAAACAUCAUUGGCCCCAUCACCUAUGGCCAGUGUCAUGUCAUCAGUACGGCUCUUGAUUAGAUCAACAAUUCCUGCCUUCUGCAAUGGUGCAACACGACAGCAAAGCACAACCUUACAGGAAGUUGCAAGGUCAAAAAGUUCUGAUUCUAGUUCUUUCUCCAAAAUGUACACCAAACUAUUCCCAUCAAUUAUAAGUGCCAGUGGCACUUUUGCUAUUCCUUCUUUCUUCCCUUCAGCUAUCUCAAGGUAGUCAAUUUCUGCAUUCUUAUUGCAUUUCAAAUUAAGGCUUCCUCCAUUUGAUGAUUUUACACCAUACUUAGCCUUGGCAUCAGCCAAGAGUUUUCUGCAUUCAUUCUCUGAAUUGCCAUUUAUAAUUAUUUGCUCCAUAUCUGUUGUCAGGAGUUUGCAAGAAAGGCCAAUUGAAAUUGCUGUCUCUUGCUUAUCUCCAGUCAGAACCCAUACCUUGAUCCCUGCUUGUCGUAGAGACUCAAUGGCUUCUGGUACACCAUCUUGUAGCUUGUCAUCAAUUCCAGUAGCCCCAAGUAGAUUUAAAUCACAUUCUAUAAGGGCUGCUGUUUGACGUAGUUUUGUGGCUCUGUCCGUCAAAGAAGUGCUUGCAUCAUCAAACUUGCAUUGCCACAGCCCAAGUUCAGCCUCUGUAAGAUCUCUUGCAGCAAUAACAAGUGUACGUAGACCUUGCGAUGAAUAUUCAGUCAAAUGGCAUUGUGUUGCAUGCCUUACAUGAUUAUCCCUCUCAUUGUCUUUGGCUAAAAUACUGAACAUGGAAGUAUCAGCGCCUUUCACCAAAACCUUCACAUCAUUGUUAGGAAAUCUGAUGACAACGGACAUUCUUUUCCGCACACUAUCAAAUUCAUGCAUACCCAAUACGUCAAACCUUAAUUUCUCACCAUUAACAUCAAUUACUAUGUGCCCAGAUGUGCGUUCAAAGAGAGUAUAUCCAUAAGCAGAGGCUGCAGCAACUAGUGCUUGCUCAUCAGGAGAUUCACCCUGAUAUGCAAUAGUUUCUACAUCCUCAUGGCGUUGAGUCUCUGCACAACUAGAAGAUCUAUCAGAAGCACGAAUAGGGAUAACAGUAUUGCAUGCAGCUAGCGUCAAGAAAAACUCAUGUGCAGAAAUCCUCUCAACUUCAACCAAGUCCUUGUGCAACAAUUUCAUGAGUUCAGAAUCGACAGCAAUUGUAGAUUUAAUCUUCAAUCUCCUGUGUGCACCUGCAGCUGAAAGGUUCUCUUCCUGCAGCUGAUCAGCCACAACCAAGGAGCCACCAUAAUUCUUCCCAUACACACUUGCUCUCUGAAAUUCCAUUUUGUUCUCCGUAAGUGUCCCUGUUUUGUCUGAAAAGAUAUAUCGUACCUGACCCAAAUCCUCAUUUAUAUUCAAUGAUCUGCACUGAAACCUUGAGCCAGAACUGCUGUCAUACAUGUGCCUGUCUCCAAUCAUGAAAUAAGACUGUCCUAAACGAACCAACUCCAUUGUAAUAUAAAGAGAUAUUGGAAUCAUUAUUUGAAAUACUAUUAUAGAACUCAAGAAAGAGAAGAAAAUCUCCAUGGGUAUUCCAUAAUAUUUGUAUCUCUUCCCAUAAUCCUUCCCAUGAGUGAAGUAUGUCUUUCUGUAAUAAGGCAAGGUAUCAAGCUGGUCCUUGUAGCGUGCAAGCCAAAGGCCCAUUCCGAGUGCCACAACUAGACACAUGAUAAAAAGAAAAAUAGACAACCAUAGCGUUUCCCUGUUCAUGUAACUUUCCAAUUUGCUUCUCUUGGAAGGAGAUGCUGCACUAUUCAACAUUGCUUUUGUUUCCUGUCCAGCAUACACCACAACACCAAUUAUCCAAUCAGUGUUCUUUAGCUGACAACCACGCAAAACAAUGUUUGAUUGGCUGAGGGAAAACUUAUGCCCAUUGAAUUCCAUAUUGGCUGUGAACUCGUAAAUAUUCCUGUUAGGUAGUUCACAUCUGAUCAAACCUGAAAUUGUGCAUUCUUCAUAUACAGCUGAAGAUGUUUCCUGCCUGGCAUACCUUGUCUUCAAGUUUGAUUCACCAUCCAAAUUCAUUGUUUGAAUGUAAGCAACACCACUGGGAUCACUGGUCCCUAGUAAAACCAUGUCACAAGGAAUUGUCUCGUCAACACAAAUUUUCACCACUUCACCAGCUCGUAUCUUCUUCCAUCUUUUCGGUCGGAAUUGGCCAGAUUGUAGCACUAGAGCCUCUCUGUUGUUCUCAUUGCGGUCUGAUCUGUGCCUUCGCCAAUCCUCAUAGCCAUCUUUAAUAGCUGUGACACAAAGAACAAAAAGGAGAGGGAAAAGGGACACAGUUCUCCCAAACACUGCAAGAGGAGGAAGUUGAUUGAGAGCAGCAAUAGCCAGGAAAUACAAAUAAGCCACCCGAUGGAACUGAAUGAAAAGAUUUUUUGGCAAGAAGGUAAUCAGUGUGUACUUGCUCGUUCGAAUCUCAUUCCCUGUGAACUCAUACUUGUCAUUGGUUCUUCUAGGAUCAUUGAUGUAGAUGAACCUGGCAUCUUCUUCACACAAUACAUUAUCAUCAAACUGCGAACUUUUGUGGCGGCUCUUCCUCUGAGACUUGCCCAAUUUAUCAUGAAGUGAAGAUGAAGCCCCUGAGCCCACCUUAGCAUGAACUACAGAUGAAGCCUUAGAAAUUUCAAAGGUAGCAGAAGUUGUGCUAUUAUUGUUGCCAUGCAGCAGUUCCAUUGCACCCCACGAUACCAGGCGUGUAUUAUCCUGCGUGGGGCAUUCCAAUGAAAGCGGCUUAAUGUGCAGAGACUCAACGGAAUGGAAUUGCUGCGUUGUUACAUCAGAACUGAAACUUUCUCUAACUGGACUAUGUAAGCUCGUGUCUCCAACAGAAAGAUUUUCGUCACCCUUGUCCAAAUGAUCUAAGCCAAAGGAAUUGCCUUGAGGAUCAUCAGUAAUGGAAGAAUUGAAAGAAUCAUUGUGGCAGAGACAACCCAGGGAGCCAAAACUGCAAGAGUGGUGACGCUGAGAGGGUGCAGAGGGAUCUGAUGACCGCAGCAAUGGCUGGCCAGAAGUCAUAAAUAAUACUCCAACAACCACAUUGGAGCAACCAUUAGCAUGUACUUGCCCCCUGGAGCAAAUCUCCUUGAGAAUCCACCCCAGGAAAAACGAGACAACCCAAAUGAAUCAGAGACUCCUUUGUGUGAAAUCACAUUCUCCUUAUAACCUGAGCAUCUAGAUACCUUCAAAUCUAUGUAAUUCUGAACUUUCCAAAAAGGGGUGCUCAGUGUUUAUUACCGAUAAAUCAAAAUGCAAGACUUCUACAACGAGAUAAUGCUUCUCAAUUGCAGAGAUGGCUUUAUAUAAGACGAAGAAACGGACAGAAAACAGCCCUUUAGCUACAGAGGCCCACAGGAUUAGGAAAAUGGAGAAGAAAGAAAAAAAAACUCAAAAAACCUCUAUUCAAUUCAAAUAAAAUGUUAAUGAAUCCCUGAUCGAUCCAGAAGACAACAAAUAGCCAAGUAUCUCCUUAUCGGCAAGACGUGCCAAAACUAAAAACACACAAGACAAACACCAAUUAAUAAAUCAUCCGUACUAAAAACAAAUUCAGACUCCUUGUAGAACCCAAUUACAAAAUUUUAGAUUCGGAUUUCAAAGACACCAAUUACAACCUAAUGCAGUUAAGUUAAACUAAUCCUCGCAAAAUAAAGAAUUUUCUUUACAAAAGAGUAAAGACAAAAGAAGAUUAAAAAGUGAAACGUACCACAGAGCAAGGAAGCAAUCAAAAGACUUAUCGUCUUGGGAUCAGAGAAACGAAGGCGAUUGACAUCAGAAAUCUAUCAAUGCACUGAAAACGAAAUCAUGGUGAAAUUGCAGAGACGAACAGUGAUUCAGGCGGAUCAGAUCUCAUCCCCCCACCAGUCCACCCUCAGUAUCCUUUAUAUUUAAUUCAAUAAAUUAAAUUUAAUGAUGAGAGCGAUCGGCUUUUUGGCUGGUGGCUCAUGUGAUCUGCAGAAACCUAAGUUCUUGAGAGAUAGAGAGAGAGUAAGAGCAAUUUUUUGCAGUUCAGAUUAAUUUGGGGAAACAAGGGGGGAACGGGCUGCCCACUUAAGGAAGGAGGGAGGGAGGGAGGGUCGUGGGCCGAGCAGACGCGAGGAGUGAGCAAGGAAAUCGCAGGAAGACACACACAGAGAGAGGGAGAGAGAUGGGGGGAGAGACGAGCGGUAAACCACAAUUCUUGGCCGUGUCCCGUCGCUACUGACUUCUCUUCUCGCCUUUGCUAGCCAUGCCGACUCUUCUUGCUGUUGCUAU
rnacentral:misc_RNA from 1 species